ACUUUUAAGCAUGUUUUUUCAAAAAUCUUAGUUAUAGCAUUUAUGCCCAAAGUACAACUUGUUGAUUCAGUUGCCCAUCGCCCCUUCCAACGUUGAUGCUAUUGCUGCUCCCAAAAAAUCAUCGACUCCCAAUAAACGAUUCGUAGUCAAAUGUUGAUUCCGGCUCCCAAGUUUUGGAGACCGAACAAGAAAGUCGAGGAUCUUCUCAGUGUGGAGGGGUGACGUCCUUUUGAGUUUUUACUUAGUGUUGUUGGACGCUUGAUAGAUUUUGUUUACCUUUUGUUCCUUGUGGGUCUUGUUCAAAUUUGUCUGUGCUGAUUUCUUGUGAGUUCUUUUGUAGAGGCAUUAUUGACUUGAUUAUGAGCAACUAAAAGAGUGCUAGAAGAAUGUAUGUGACAAAUUCCAUAGUUGACACUCACAUCAACAUUUAGUUUGUUAAAUUGUUUUCCAAACAUCAAA